rnacentral:rRNA from 1 species
CCUACGGGAGCAGCAGUGAGGAAUAUUGGUCAAUGGCCGAGAGGCUGAACCAGCCAAGUCGCGUGAGGGAAGACGGCCCUACGGGUUGUAAACCUCUUUUGUCGGGGAGCAAAGCGAACCACGUGUGGUUCAUUGAGAGUACCCGAAGAAAAAGCAUCGGCUAACUCCGUGCCAGCAGCCGCGGUAAUACGGAGGAUCCAAGCGUUAUCCGGAUUUAUUGGGUUUAAAGGGUGCGUAGGCGGUUUGAUAAGUUAGAGGUGAAAUACCGGUGCUCAACACCGGAACUGCCUCUAAUACUGUUGAACUAGAGAGUAGUUGCGGUAGGCGGAAUGUAUGGUGUAGCGGUGAAAUGCUUAGAGAUCAUACAGAACACCGAUUGCGAAGGCAGCUUACCAAACUAUAUCUGACGUUGAGGCACGAAAGCGUGGGUAGCAAACAGGAUUAGAUACCCGAGUAGUC